UACGUAGGGGGCAAGCGUUAUCCGGAUUUACUGGGUGUAAAGGGAGCGUAGACGGCAUGGCAAGUCAGAUGUGAAAGCCCGGGGCUCAACCCCGGGACUGCAUUUGAAACUGUCAGGCUGGAGUGCAGGAGAGGUAAGCGGAAUUCCUAGUGUAGCGGUGAAAUGCGUAGAUAUUAGGAGGAACACCAGUAGCGAAGGCGGCUUACUGGACUGUAACUGACGUUGAGGCUCGAAAGCGUGGGGAGCAAACAGG
rnacentral:rRNA from 1 species